CGCUGGCAAAAUCCGAUCCCUGCCUCCACGUGGCGCUGCUGGAUGUCGGCCUGGUGAGUUGAUGGCGCUCAACCAGAGCCUAACCAAAGGGACGG
rnacentral:ribozyme from 1 species